rnacentral:misc_RNA from 1 species
AAAACUCUCAACAUAUUAUUGAUUACAAGCUCGCUUUUUUGCUACAUUACUUAAAGGUAAGCUCGGUGAAUCAAAUUGGCCCAAAUUAACAAACAAAACCAAAAAUAAUAAGAUCGUCUGUUCGUAGUCGCAUGCUGUCUGUCUAAACCAUAAAUAUUAGACAUCAUAUGGCUCUAUCUAGUUGGUUCGAAAACCAACUAAAACAUAUAGGGGUACAUCAAUGAUUAAACAAAAAAAACAUUACCUACUACGCCCAUUAAAAUUGCUGGCUCGAAACAAUAACCAAGCCCAUCAUCAGGUGUUCAAGACCUUCAGCUUCUUCUGUGGCACAUUACGCACAAGCUGGCCUGAAUUGGCCGAGCUGAUUCCGCGUAUUAUGA